rnacentral:rRNA from 1 species
AUUGAACGCUGGCGGCAUGCCUUACACAUGCAAGUCGAACGGUAACGGGUCUUCGGAUGCUGACGAGUGGCGAACGGGUGAGUAAUACAUCGGAACGUGCCUAGUAGUGGGGGAUAACUACUCGAAAGAGUGGCUAAUACCGCAUGAGAUCUACGGAUGAAAGCAGGGGAUCGCAAGACCUUGUGCUACUAGAGCGGCCGAUGGCAGAUUAGGUAGUUGGUGGGAUAAAAGCUUACCAAGCCGACGAUCUGUAGCUGGUCUGAGAGGACGACCAGCCACACUGGGACUGAGACACGGCCCAGACUCCUACGGGAGGCAGCAGUGGGGAAUUUUGGACAAUGGGCGCAAGCCUGAUCCAGCCAUGCCGCGUGCAGGAUGAAGGCCUUCGGGUUGUAAACUGCUUUUGUACGGAACGAAAAGACUCCUUCUAAUAAAGGGGGUCCAUGACGGUACCGUAAGAAUAAGCACCGGCUAACUACGUGCCAGCCGCCGCUGUAACAC